rnacentral:rRNA from 1 species
UGGGGGAUAUUGCACAAUGGGGGAAACCCUGAUGCAGCAACGCCGCGUGAAGGAAGAAGGUCUUCGGAUUGUAAACUUUUGUCUUGUGGGAAGAUAAUGACGGUACCACAGGAGGAAGCUCCGGCUAACUACGUGCCAGCAGCCGCGGUAAUACGUAGGGAGCGAGCGUUGUCCGGAUUUACUGGGUGUAAAGGGUGCGUAGGCGGCUAGACAAGUCAGGUGUGAAAUACCGCAGCUCAACUGCGGGGCUGCACUUGAAACUGUAGAGCUUGAGUGAUGGAGAGGUAAGCGGAAUUCCUAGUGUAGCGGUAAAAUGCGUAGAUAUUAGGAGGAACACCAGUGGCGAAGGCGGCUUACUGGACAUUAACUGACGCUGAGGCACGAAAGCGUGGGGAGCAAA